GGAGUCAGUUGUGUGAGAUUACCAGACAAGUACAGUAAACAAGAGUCAGGUUAUUAUGCAGACUUGAGUCCUUGCCUGCCGAAUUGUUAAGAGUUUCUAGAGAUAAGGUCCUUCCCCGCUUCUUCCUGGUACAGAGAGGGAGACAGCUUUACAGAUGGAGAUUUCCUUUACAAAUGCAAAUGUCUCUUACAAAGGAGAAGAAACCAAGCCCAGAGAAAUGACUCCAUUUAGUUCUCUCAAUAAUCCCACGAAGUAAGUGCUAUUAUCAUAAGUACUUGGCAGUCAGAUCUUCAUUGGAGUACAGAUCUUCCUUGACAUUCGAUGGAAUUAUGUCCAGGACUGCCAGUGCUCAAAACUGUGUUGGUACUCCUCGUUUGAAGAUGGAUGAACACACUGAAUAACCAUCUUUUUGUCUUGUCUUUUUGCAAGAGAAACUUGAAGUGUGAGACUGUUUUCUUGGAUGGGCCAAAAAAGGUCUUCCUUUUUCACCUUCCCCUUCUCACCUACCACCUACCUUGGUUUCCAAGAAGACUGCUCUGGACAGUGACUCUCAUUUGGGUGUUUAAUUUCUGUGUGUCCUUGGGAAAAAGCGCCAGCCUUCCCCUUACUAGGUAAAGACGUCUUAUCUAGAAGCAGAGGGGUCAUAACCUUACCUGAUGUCCUGUUCAGUUGUCUUGUUCUCCUUCAAAUUGCCCUCCCCCCUUUCUUGGCCUGCUUUAGCUGUGUGUACCUGUGAGAGCAGAGCCCUUUCUUGCUGGUGAAGCCCUCACAGACCACUCUUUUUCCCUAACAUCUGCGCUUAAGGAUUUGGUUGGAACAAUUAGCUCCCAAAGGACUUCUGUCCUGAGUAGACUGUCUCCUUGUUUCCUGGGUGUUUGUCUUCUCCACAGCCGACAAGAAGAUUCUAAACUCUGUGAGGGCUGCUGUGUCUCCCUCAACCAUGUCUCUACACAGGUCACAGACUCAACACUUUCUUACUGAUUCUUUCAGUUGUAUUCUUAAUCAUAUGAAUUAAA
rnacentral:lncRNA from 1 species